rnacentral:tRNA from 1 species
CCCCCUGUGGCUCAGUUGGUAGAGCAUGGUGUUUGCAACGCCAGGGUAGUGGGUUCGAUUCCCACGGGGGGC